UCAUACUAGUGCGUAUAGAGCGCGCUAGAGCGCGCUAUAUCAGUCAGGCGUGAAUGCCCCGGGCUCUAACCUGGGAACUGCGCUUGAUACUGGGUGGCUAGAGUACCGGAGAAGUAGGUGGAAUUCCCAGUGUAGAGGUGAAAUUCGUAGAUAUUGGGAAGAACACCAGUGGCGAAGGCGGCCUACUGGACCGGUACUGACGCUGAUGCGCGAAAGCGUGGGGAGCAAACAGGAUUAGAUACCCUGGUAGUCCAC
rnacentral:rRNA from 1 species